GCGAUCAUACCAGCACUAAUGCACCGGAUCCCAUCAGAACUCCGCAGUUGAGCGUGCUUGGGCGAGAGUAGUACUAGGAUGGGUGACCUCCUGGGAAGUCCUCGUGUUGCACCCC
rnacentral:rRNA from 1 species